AACAACUGAAAACUGAUGUACAAUCCAGUAGGAUCCGAAAACAGCCGGAUGAUCCGGUGAAAUUUUUGAAAAUUAUAGACAGUUAUUUUAAGCCAUGAUUUCAGGCACCACUUCCUCCUUAGUUUCAAAUCGCAGUGACAUUGAUCCAUUCUACUGCAACCUUCGAUCAUAUCACUUCUUCACACUCAUUGAUUUCGUCCAAAAUUGCACCUUUACAGCGAUGAAUAAUGGUUGUAAGCGCAUCCACUGUGUGCUCUUUCUCCUUCUUCUGCAAGAACCGCAGGUCUGCCUGUUUCUCUUUUUCCCAUCCAUGACCGUGAGUUUCAUAGUGUUUUUUGCCAUUCCUUCAUGCUUUGAUUCUUACACCAACCCAGAUUCGGCAAGAUGUACCUCCCUCCGCUUCGUACUUCUGGCAAGAAUAGGUCCAGUGAUUUGCAAAUUUUAUUUUGGAUUUAAUUUAUUUCAAUCUAUUUAUAAUUUAUCAUGUAUGAUUUGAUUUCUGAUUUAUGGUUAGUGUAAUUAAGACGUCAUCAAGGGUUUGUUAAAAUGCCUGAACUAAAUUAUUUAUUCUGUGUGUUGUUUGAUCCAUUUAAUAUUUAAUAAGUUUUGUAAUUCUAACAUGUUAAUCUCUUCAAGUUCUAUUUGUGUUUCAGGUUAAUGUUGUAAGAAACCAAUGAAGAUUUUAUAGUGAAUCAACAGAUAUUACAAAACAAUUUCAUAAUUGAUUUGCACAUUAGAUCAUAGUUUCCAGACGUAUUUGUUUUCAAGAUGCAUCAAUCUUGGUCUUGCUUUCUAUAAAGUCUUGCACAUGAUUAUACUGGCAAGUGCGAGAUUGUGCAAGUUUGAGGGUAUAUUUCCUAUCUCUUAUUACAAACUAAUACCUAUAACUAUUUUCAAAGAAAUUCAAACUUGCAGCUUAUUAGUGUCGCGGGCAAGGAGUAACAGAGAUGAGUGCAUAUCAUGAUGACACUGGCAGAAGAAAGGAAAGAAGGAUUGGCAGUGGAUUUGAUCCAACCAUUCCCGCAGAAAAGUAUACACAACUGAGAAGGAUGACUUGAUUCUUAUGACAUAUUUUCAAGAAAGGAGGAGUAAAAAGUCUUUGAACAUAGUACGCGCACUCCACCAACAGAUGAAUCAAAUAUAGAUGAAUAGCGUAUUUGGAUUAUCAAUCACUUUAGAAAUAUGAUACAUUUGUUUGGAAGAAAUGUUGAAAUCAGUGAGUUGUCAAUAGUCCAGGAAGAGUUGAUGAGAUUCUUGGAUUUAUUCAUAUCCAGAAAUUGGAUGUGCCUUUAGUUGCAAUAUACAAAGGAUGAAUGCCCAAGUCUGUUCAAGGAUCCAGAGCAAAUUGAAGCCGAUGCUCUUCAGAAUAGCUUUGACAGAAAACCAUCUUUAAUGUCGUCUAAGUGAUUGCUUGCACAAUCAGAUUACGAUGGAUUUUGUUAUGGAGCAUGAACACAAUAUUUUGAAGAAGAAAUAUUUGAUGAAGUUUACCAGGAUGAAGAUUAAUCAAGGAAUAAUAUGUGAGAAGAGAAGUUGAUUGUAGUCUGCAAUGCAGUUAAUCAGGUUUCAGGAAGUUCGAAAAUUUUAAAUAGUUAAGAAGUUGUCGGGCUGGAAACAUUGCAGACUGCAUAAUGGAAUAAUGUGUAAUAAUCCUAAACUGCAAGUAACAUGCUGCCUAGAAAGCAGGUCUUCACUCAAACUUGCUUAAACAGAUCCUCACUCAGUUGUAAAAGUUAACCUGUAGUACUUCCAUUUCCUUCUGUUAUUUAGUUUGAAUUAUACAUAUAUCUUUUUUGUGGUGUUGAUCUUUGUUUUGAUAUUGAUAGUUAUCCAAAAAGUUGUUAUGUUCUUUUU